rnacentral:rRNA from 1 species
CCCUUAGAUGUUCUGGGCGGCCCGCGCACUACAUUGGCACUGGCAACAAGAUCCUAGAUCUGAUAUUUCGGGGUAUUCUACCAACUGGUGUCGUGACUUGGGAUUAACCCCUGCAAUUAUUGGUUAUGAACGAGGAAUUCCUUGUAAUCACGGUUUAUCAACCCGUGUUGAAUGCGUCCCUGCCCUUUGUACACACCGCCCGUCGCUCCUACCGAUGAAUCGUCCGGUGAAGUUCAUGGAGUCGCGGCUGCUCCAGCUGUUUUCGAAGUGAAAUGGACCUCAUGAUUUAGAGGAAGGAGAAGUCGUAACA